rnacentral:rRNA from 1 species
GUUGGCCUCGGAUCAGGUGGGGAUACCCGCUGAACUUAAGCAUAUCAAUAAGCGGAGGAAAAGAAACCAACAGGGAUUGCCUCAGUAACGGCGAGUGAAGCGGCAACAGCUCAAAUUUGAAAUCUGGCGCAAGCCCGAGUUGUAAUUUGCAGAGGAUGUUUCGGGUGAAGCCACGGUCCAAGUCCCUUGGAACAGGACGUCAUAGAGGGUGAGAACCCCGUACCUGGCCGUCGGUGCCCCCCGCUGUGAAACUCCUUCGACGAGUCGAGUUGUUUGGGAAUGCAGCUCUAAAUUGGUGGUAAAUUCCAUCUAAAGCUAAAUACCGGCCAGAGACCGAUAGCGCACAAGUAGAGUGAUCGAAAGAUGAAAAGCACUUUGAAAAGAGAGUUAAAAAGUACGUGAAAUUGUUGAAAGGGAAGCGCUUGCGGCCAGACUUGCCCGCGGUUGCUCAGCCCGCCUUUUGGCGGGUGCACUCUUCCGCGGUCAGGCCAGCAUCGGUUUGGGCGGUCGGAUAAAGGCGCCGGGAACGUGGCCUCCCCUCGGGGAGGUGUUAUAGCCCGGCGCGCAAUGCGACCAGCCCGGACCGAGGUUCGCGCUUUGCUAGGAUGCUGGCGUAAUGGCCGUAAGCGGCCCGUCUUGAAACACGGACCAAGGAGUCUAACAUCUAUGCGAGUGUUUGGGUGUCAAACCCGUGCGCGUAAUGAAAGUGAACGGAGGUGGGAACCGCAAGGUGCACCAUCGACCGAUCCUGAUGUCUUCGGAAGGAUUUGAGUAAGAGCAUAGCUGUUGGGACCCGAAAGAUGGUGAACUAUGCGUGAAUAGGGUGAAGCCAGAGGAAACUCUGGUGGAGGCUCGCAGCGGUUCUGACGUGCAAAUCGAUCGUCAAAUUUGCGUAUAGGGGCGAAAGACUAAUCGAACCA